rnacentral:rRNA from 1 species
AUGCAGUUCGAAGGCUCGGCGACGCAUUGGCUCUCAUCAGUUCAACAGAAGUUUAUUCGUUCAUCGUGGGAUGAGUUUUGUGCCGCUGUCCUUGCUUGCUUUGGGCGAAAUCAGCAUCAAACACUUGUGCGCAAAAUGUAUAGACUGCGUCAGACAUGGUUUGUGGAAGAGUACAUAAAUCAGUUUUCAGAGUUGAUGGAUCUGUGGAAGAGUACAUAUGAUCCUGAGCCUGAUAUGCUGCAUUAUACCACAUGUUUUGUCGAUGGCCUGAAGCCCACUGUCAGGAUGGUAGUAGUAGUGCAACGUCCAGCUGAUUUGGAUGCAGCUUAUUCAAUCGAUGUAGUACAGGAAGAGGUUGGGGAUAGUGAACCAGAGUAUCGACAAGCGAACGAGCUACUCCACUCCUUCGCGGCAGUAUAA